UUCGAAUUUUGCGUGUUAUUUCGUAAUGCCGAGAUGGAAAAUCGUUCUAAGGGUGUAGAUGUAUUAUUGUUUGUUCUAUAUUUUGGUGUCUGUGAAUGUACAUUGACGACGGCUGUUAUUAAAGACAAUACUUCGCCGAAACCUGUUUAUCGUAGAUUUUAUAUAGGAAGUGCAGGAGUGAAUGCAAAAUCCACCGAUAAAAUGAUUGAUUUACUUGAUGGGAGGCGAAGGAACAGUAUGUCGGCAGAAAGCGGAUUAUAUAAUGGCUCACAAAUAUGGGACUGGGACACUUGGUGCUUACUUCAGCCAAGGAAAGGUAAUUGUGUCCAGAAUAUAGACAGAUUUUAUUACAAUCGCCAAUUGGAAAAGUGCCUACCGUUUGUGUACAGUGGAUGCAAU